AUGAGCAAGCAUGGUAUGUUUUGUUUUACAGUGCGUUUUAUCAUUUUCACCCUUCUACUGCUGCUGUGUGUGAAAUCUGGUAGAUUUGCACCAUAUGGGAACCACACUUUGGAUAAAAGGAGUCUAGAAACCUGCGAAAAUAUAAGGCUGCAGGCUGAAAGGAUAAUAGAAAUGUUACUCAGUGAAAAUUUCACACUUACUCCAAGCAGUACUAUCUCUUCAGAAAAUGACUGUGGUGUGGCAAAGUGUGUAGUUUUACAGAAACUUUGUGAUUAUAAUAACUGCGAGGUGACGUUCCAGAAUGAUAGCAAUAAAAUCAAGAUCGAAAUUCAAGGCCUAAUUGACAACUUACAGAUGCUCAAAUGCUCAGAUGAAGAAAAAAAGGGCAAUUUAUCAAAUUCCUCGUGUCCCUCGGAAAUUCAACAACUCUCUAUAUGGGACAAAACUAAAGCGUUUGUGGAUCAGGUCAUUGGGGCGUGUUUACAUACAAUGCAACAUGUGUGUCCUAAAUUGUCUUAAAAAACUAAAAGUGCUGAGAAUAUCCUGACAUUUUUAUAUUUAUUUAUUUAUCAUUUAAUGUGUGUUUUAUAUAUAUAUAUAUAUAUAUAUAUAUAUAUAUAUAUAUAUAUAUGAUAUGUUAGACCUUGUUUGUGCAUCUGACGUUUCUUC
ensembl:lncRNA